CAUCAGGAGAGCUUGCAAGACCUCUUUCAUGAAAGAUUCAUUUUCCCCCUGUAGGAUCAUACUCAGCUUUGCUGAGUAAGUUACUCUUGAUUGUAAGCCUGCAUCCCUUGCCUUCAGUAAUAUCAUGUUUCAACCUUUCUGUUCCUUCAUAGUAGUUGUGCUAAAUCAUAUCUUUUCUUGACUGGGACUUUGCGGUACUUGAAUUAAUUUUUUUCUGUUUUGUUUUGUUUUGUCUGCCUGCAGCACUUUUUCUUUGACCCGGAAGCUCUGGAUUUGGGCUCUUUUCUUUGUGAAAUUUCUCCAAGGAACUGACUGAGAGAUUAUUUCUAUUUCUACUUUGCCUUUGGGUUCUAAGAGAUCUGAGCAGUUUUAAGAUUUCUUGAGAUAUGAUGUGUAGGCUCUUUUUUUUUUUUUGGUAAUGGCAUUCAAAUAGUUCAGUAAUUCUUAAAUUAUAUCUCUUCCAUCUGUUUCCCAGGUCAGGUUUUUUUUAUAUGAAAUGUCUUAAAUUUUCUUUUUUUCUAGUUUUCUGACUUUAAUAUCUUUUAUUGUAUCAUGGAAUGAUUAACUUCCACUUGAUCCAUUCUGAUUUUUAGGAUGCUUGCUGCUUGGGUCAAGUUCCUGCCUUCUGGGGCUGAGCAGAGUCAGGCUAAUCUCUUCCCUGCCGCAUGUGACAAAGCCGCCCAAGCAGUGGGAGACAGCCAUCAUCCUCCCCUUCCCCGUCCCCACCUCCCAAUCUUCCCUUCACUCAGCUUCUUAUGGCCUUUCCCCAUUGAAUUGAAUUGAAGUGAGUUGACUAAGGGUCCCAAGGCUGGAGUCCAGGCCCCAGGGAUCAGGGCCAGUGAUCUUGACCCAGCCCCAGGGAUCAGGGCCAGUGAUCUUGACCCAGCCCCAGGGAUCAGGGCCAGUGAUCUUGACCCACUUGUCUCUCCUCAGUUUCGAAAAAACGUCCAGGAUGUGCUGGCCGACAUGCCCAACCCUGACGACUAUUUCCUCCUUCGCUGGCUCCGAGCUCGAAGUUUUGACCUGCAGAAAUCUGAGGCCAUGCUCCGGAAGGUGAGCCCCCAGCCCUUUACUCUCUUGGACCCCAGGCCAGAGCAAGCAGAUCCUUGGCCUUCUCACCUCUUGCCGAGUUUUUCCCUUUCCUCCAUCUCUCCUUCCUUUCCAGCUUCAGCCAAUACUCCUGUCCCACUAGUGGCCUUCCAAAGGCUCAGAAUCUUUCUUCCUGCUCCCAGCUCUCCUCUUAGGGUGGGAUGAGGCCCAAGUAAGGGUGCCCAGGUAGGGGGUGCCCAGUGAGGGAGUGUCCAGUUAGAAGAUGCUCAGGAUGGUUCUUAG
rnacentral:lncRNA from 1 species